rnacentral:rRNA from 1 species
UGGUGGAGUGAUUUGUCUGGUUAGUUCCGUUAACGAACGAGACCUUAACCUGCUAAAUAGUUACACGUAACUUCGGUUACGUGGGCAACUUCUUAGAGGGACUUUGUGUGUCUAACGCAAGGAAGUUUGAGGCAAUAACA